rnacentral:rRNA from 1 species
GACGGAGGAUGCAAGUGUUAUCCGGAAUCACUGGGCGUAAAGCGUCUGUAGGUGGUUCAAUAAGUCAACUGUUAAAUCUUGAGGCUCAACUUCAAAAAUCGCAGUCGAAACUAUUGGACUCGAGUAUAGUAGGGGUAAAGGGAAUUUCCAGUGGAGCGGUGAAAUGCGUAGAGAUCGGAAAAGAACACCAACGGCGAAAGCACUCUGCUGGGCCGACACUGACACUGAAGAGCAGAAAGCUAGGGGAGCGAAUGGG